UGUCUUUGGAAUAACCUCCUGGUGAAUUUCCUUUUCACCCUGUCUACAGUGAUUUCAGGGAGCUACUUGUGAUGUCCUUUCCGAUGUCAGAAUUAAGGGUAGGGCAGAGGCAGAUGUAAGUACAGUACUGCCCACUCCCCUUCAAAGUCUAGUGGGUAGGCCUGGAAGCUUAUUGAGCAAAUAUGAUUUUAGUCACAAGUAGACAGGAUAGUCUGGACUAAUAAUGAAAAAUGUUAACACUACCUUGGAUUUAGAGUACUCUUCCUUUGAAGGUGUAAUUAAUUAAUACUUCCUUUGCAGAUGUAAUUCAUUAAUGCUUCACUUUGGUUUUGUUUUAGUACUUCACUUAUCCAAGGUAGGUUAAGCAAAGAAGUAUUAUUCAUUACACUGAAGUAUUAUUCAUUACACUGAAGUGAACAGUUCAGGCCUCUUCUGUCACAUCAGUUUAAAUAAGUACAACAAAGAUUUAUGACUUCAGCUGGGCGAAGUGGCUCAUGCCCGUAAUCCCAGCACUUUGGAAAGCUGAGGUGGGUGGAUGGCUUGAGCCCAGGAGUUUGAGACCAGUACUAGGCAACAUAGGUGGACCUCCGUCUUUACCAAAAAUUUAAAAAUUAACUAGGCAUAGUGGUGUGCACCUGUAGUUAGUCUCAGCUACUUGGGAGUCUGAGGUGGGAGGAUUGCCUGAGCCUGGGAGUUGAAGGCUGCAGUGAGCCAUGAUCCUGCCACUGCACUCCCAUCCUGGACAACAAAGCAAGACACUGUUGCAAAAAAAAAAAAAAGAAAAGAAAAAGAAAAAAGAAUUAUCAACUCUUACUGUCCCUGAACAUUGAAGAUCAAGAGAUCAAUGACAUUCUAAAUGUUGGAAUUUACAGUCUUCCAGUCUCCUGGACCACAAUGUACAGUUAAUAGAUCUUUCCAAGCUUUAUGGUACUGAAUCCCUAAUUAGCAUUCCACUGAAGAGCUCUUAAGGAACUGAAAAGGAACUGCUGCGUACCACUCCUGCUGAUGGGUAAUUAACAAGUAUUCACAAGUAUUGCACUUACCUCCAAGAAAAACACCUGCAAGUUUGUAUUCUCC